rnacentral:lncRNA from 1 species
AGAAAUAAUAAAGAAAAAGAAAAAAGAGAAAGAAAAGAAAAGUUGAUGUUAUGGGAGAAUGUGCUUAGGCCCGUAAGAAUAGGCAAGGAUCUUAAAAAUCUGGGAGGUCUAUGCCCAGAAUGAAGUUCAGAAUGACCUUAGCCUCGUACCAAAAAUUCUCACCUUAUGCCUUAAGCCACGUUACAACCCAUAGAAGACCUAAUGAGACGCAC